rnacentral:rRNA from 1 species
GUGAGGAAUAUUGGUCAAUGGGCGAGAGCCUGAACCAGCCAAGUCGCGUGAAGGAAGAAGGAUCUAUGGUUCGUAAACUUCUUUUGCAGGGGAAUAAAGUGCAGGACGUGUCCUGUUUUGUAUGUACCCUGAGAAUAAGGAUCGGCUAACUCCGUGCCAGCAGCCGCGGUAAUACGGAGGAUCCGAGCGUUAUCCGGAUUUAUUGGGUUUAAAGGGUGCGUAGGCGGACUAUUAAGUCAGUGGUGAAAUCCUGCAGCUUAACUGCAGAACUGCCAUUGAUACUGAUAGCCUUGAGUUUGGUUAAGGUAGGCGGAAUGUGUAAUGUAGCGGUGAAAUGCUUAGAUAUUACACAGAACACCAAUUGCGUAGGCAGCUUACUGAGCCGACACUGACGCUGAGGCACGAAAGCGUGGGGAUCGAACAGGAUUAGAUACCCGAGUAGUCC